CGGGUUGAAGAACAAGGCUAUGGAUGCGCGCUCAGAAAUACAGCCAGCAUUGAAUCUUUUGACUCUUUCUACUCCCAGUCUGCUACAACUAGAGGUAAUUAAGGAGGUGCGCAAUCAUUUCUGAGCUACAGUCUGGGCUCACUGAAAAGGAAAUUAUGCGCUCGUCAAAGGAAUCUUUUGCUAUCAUGGGAAGGUAGUUCUUCCCAAAAAUAAGUCUUAUCUUGGUGCCAGGACUUAUGGGACACAAUAAAAAUAAUCUGGUGUAAUAAGAUAUUUUUUUAUUUCAGCAAUUUCUUAGUUUUAAUCAUAAGCAUUUUUAAUUAGAAAUUUUAAACAUGUCUAAUUGGUAAGUAUAAAACUGUGUUAUGUUUUAUUGGCGGAAAAAAACUUUUGUCGAUGUGCUUAGAAUACAUCUUGUUUGGUAGCGAUUUAAAUUAUAAAAUUUGGAUCGUUACAACUCAAGAUACAGCUCUCUAGAAAACAUUUGAGGAUGAAACAAGCUGCAAACGGCGUCAUCCCUUAUAAUGAAAUCACAUUCUCUACUCCAAUUGCUGUUUUUGUUUCUGUAUUCCUGAUUUAUCUGCUAGGCCAGUCUUGUUGGUUCUGGUUUGUUGUUUUGAUGAUCCCUACCUUAUUGACCGCAACUUCAGUAUUUUUAAUUGCCUUCAUUGCUACUCCUCUAGUAGAUAUUGAUGGUGACAUUCAGUUCGAAGUGGGAGAGUUAGUUUAUCUCAAGCUUUGUCACUAUCAUCAGAAAUCUGUUGUGAAGAGACCAUUUGAAAAGCUGUCUCCCUAGAUACUAUAGUUUGAGGUGGAGUUCAGAGUAGUACAGGUUCCAGACAAACUGAAAAUUCCGCCCACCAUGGCGAUUCAUUCAGUUUUCCAUGUUUACCAACUCCGUAAAGUAAUUGGGAAUUCACAGCCUAUUUCUUCAUUUCCUUCACAACUAACCACUACUGGGAAUUCAUUUUGGAGCUGGAGACCGUGUUAGAGUUUGGCCUAAUCCUACCAACAACACAAUUUCGGGGCCCGAAAUUUUGAUCAAAUGGAAGAAUCUAAUGGAUUUUGAGGCGACAUGGGGAAACCUCUGAAACAAUCAGGAUGCAGUUUCCUAGUUUCCAACUUGAGGACAAGGUAGAUUUUGGGGCAGUAAGGCAUUGAUAGACCCCAACCAAGUUCACGUACGAAAGAAGGAAAAAGGAGAAUGGCAUAACAUAGUUGCAUCCAAGUCCAAUAUUCCAGAAUGUUCACUAGUUAGUUAGUAUGAAGGUCAAAAGGGUAAUAGUGCUAUAGUAAGGGAAUGCCAAUAAAUGUGAAGAGAGGGGAAUCUAGGGUGUAUCCAUUCACUGAAAUUCAGUUAGGAAAAGGAGAGACCAUGCCCCUUAAAUUGCCUUAGAUUGUUCUGUUGCAACUGUGCUCACUCAUCACAUAAACACUUGUUCUAAGUCUUCAAUUCAAUAUAGAAUUCCAUUUACAAUCAACAUUUUCAUUCUACAUUCAUUCUUCUACUAUACUAUUGGCCUAAUAGUUAUAUUGACAUCUGAUUCACAGGUUCAUCACAGUGGCAACCGGGGAUUCUAUCACUUGUCACCUAUUCUGCUAUCUGUGCCCACUUUGUCUGUAUAAUGCUUUUAUUUUUAUAUUUUGAUCUGCAUUCACAACUGCACCCUCUAUUACUAAAUUGUUUACUCUAUUGGCUUGGAGCUUCAUGAAUGAAUGAAUGAAACCUAAAUUGUAGUAAAUAUUAGAUGUCCGACUAAAAAUAUGCACUUCUUAGCUGCUCAAGCUUUUUCCAUCUUUUUUAGUGUUUUUUAUUUUUAUGUAUUCCUAGGAAUCCAAACCACAAAAAAUAAAAAAUAGUCCAAGUACUUCGCUCACAAAAAUGCAGAUCCAAGUAGAGUGAAGGAGAGUAAUAUUGCCUAUUAUCUUAGCGAAAACAACUUUUAUACUAGAAUAAGCAAUUUUAGAGUGCCUGUCCAACACUGUUCCAUAGAAGUGAGUUUAGGACUGAGACUAACGAGGAUCAUGGCACACUGAAGAGCACACUGCAGACAAGUGAUAAUGCGUUGAAAAUUGAAGUGACAUUUAUUGGUCUACCUAUUGCAUAAAUUAUUGGAAAAAUUGUGAUUUCUUUCCAGAAAGAAAGAGAAUAAGAAA
rnacentral:lncRNA from 1 species